AGCUUUAUGCAGUGGCAGUAUUCUAGCCAGUGAGGUUUAUCUGAGGCACAAUUAUUGCUAAAUUGAAAAUAAGGUAUCGAUUAUGAGGUCAUUUUCCUUAUUUUGGUAUAAAGUUUAAUAAUAAAGUUAUCUUC